GGCCCCGUAGCUCAGCGGUCAGAGCUGGCGACUCAUAAUCGCUCGGUCCCUGGUUCGAAUCCAGGCGGGGCCA
rnacentral:tRNA from 1 species